UGCCAUAUAAAAUACAACCGCAAUCAACGUCAAUGCAACUGUCCAAUGUUCUUGACCAAUGCUGCCAAGGAAUUACCAAGCAAACAAUUGAAAUUGUUGUCAAAAUCGCCGUCAACGAAUAUAAAGCACCAAGUACUUUCCAGGAUUGACACACUUAAAGUAAAACGCACUUUGGAUAUUUGUUUUUUGGUCAACUUCUGAACGAUAUAAUUUAACAGAUCCGCAUGGCCUGAUGAACGGAGAUCGACUGCUUUUUCACCCAUGAGGCAAAACGACGAUGAUCGUGAUUACGCAAAAAGAAAAAAAAAUCUCGCACAAAAGAUAAAUAUUUUCCAAACUAUUUUUCUUCGGACAAUAUUUCUUUUUCCUAAUGGUAAUUGCAUCAUGUCCUCUGAGUCAAAUUAAUCUCGAUAAUAAUUUACAAUUUUUCUCACUUAUGGUUUUCCCGUCCCUUCUUGACUUAUCAAUUAUAGAUAGAUACAUAUAUACAGUAUUAUAUAUUUUAAGAAUGUAAAUACACUUUUAAAAGUGGACUAAUAAAUUUUUC